rnacentral:rRNA from 1 species
CUACGGGGCGCUGCAGUGAGGAAUAUUGCACAAUGGGGGGAACCCUGAUGCAGCAACGCCGCGUGGAGGAUGACGCAUUUCGGUGUGUAAACUCCUUUUAUAUGUCAAGAAAAUGACGGUAGCAUAUGAAUAAGCACCGGCUAACUCCGUGCCAGCAGCCGCGGUAAUACGGAGGGGUGCAAGCGUUACUCGGAAUCACUGGGCGUAAAGGACGCGUAGGCGGGUUGGAAAGUCAGGUGUGAAAUCCUACAGCUUAACUGUAGAACUGCACUUGAAACUUCUAAUCUAGAGUAUGGGAGGGGGAGAUGGAAUUAGUGGUGUAGGGGUAAAAUCCGUAGAUAUCACUAGGAAUACCUAAAGCGAAGGCGAUCUCCUGGAACAUUACUGACGCUAAGGCGUGAAAGCGUGGGGAGCAAACAGGAUUAGAUACCCCCGUAGUC